GGAACUGCUUCAAUUUAGAGAAGCCGAAGAUACUCAUCACUGUAAUUUACUCUCAAGACAACUAAGGACAUAGAGAUGUUGCACUACAAGGAGACAAGUCUACAGAGUUAUUGGAAGGGACAAGGACAAGGAAGCUUAGGUCAUACUGCCAUGACGUCUGGUUCCCAUUUCUAAGAGGGAAUUUCCCUGCAUAAGAGGAAGCUGCUUCUGCCAGAGAACUCUGCCAGCUUGAUUAGUAAGGAGUCAGGACAGGACAUUCACUGGCAUCACUGAAGGUGAGUCACAGACCAAACGGCAAAGCUUGCUUAUACUCCCCUCACACAUUAUUUUCCUCUCUCUCCUCUCACUUGUUUUUC